rnacentral:rRNA from 1 species
GACGAACGCUGGCGGCGUGCUUAACACAUGCAAGUCGAACGGAAAGGCCCUGCUUUUGUGGGGUGCUCGAGUGGCGAACGGGUGAGUAACACGUGAGUAACCUGCCCUUGACUUUGGGAUAACUUCAGGAAACUGGGGCUAACACCGGAUAGGAGCUCCUGCUGCAUGGUGGGGGUUGGAAAGUUUCGGCGGUUGGGGCUGGACUCGCGGCUUAUCAGCUUGUUGGUGGGGUAGUGGCUUACCAGGGCUUUGACGGGUAGCCGGCCUGAGAGGGUGACCGGCCACAUUGGGACUGAGAUACGGCCCAGACUCCUACGGGAGGCAGCAGUGGGGAAUAUUGCACAAUGGGCGGAAGCCUGAUGCAGCAACGCCGCGUGCGGGAUGACGGCCUUCGGGUUGUAAACCGCUUUCGCCUGUGACGAAGCGUGAGUGACGGUAAUGGGUAAAGAAGCACCGGCUAACUACGUG